rnacentral:rRNA from 1 species
GACGAACGCUGGCGGCGUGCUUAGCACAUGCAAGUCGAGCGGUAAGGCCCUUUCGGGGGUACGACGAGCGGCGAACGGGUGAGUAACACGUGGGUGACCUGCCCUCAGCUCUGGGAUAAGCCUGGGAAACCGGGUCUAAUACCGGAUAUGACUCCAUGACGCAUGUUGUGGGGUGGAAAGCCUUGUGCGGCUGAGGAUGGGCCCGCGGCCUAUCAGCUUGUUGGUGGGGUGANGGCCUACCAAGGCGACGACGGGUAGCCGGCCUGAGAGGGCGACCGGCCACACUGGGACUGAGACACGGCCCAGACUCCUACGGGAGGCAGCAGUGGGGAAUCUUGCGCAAUGGGCGAAAGCCUGACGCAGCGACGCCGCGUGAGGGAUGACGG